GGCGCAGGGCCCCGGCUGACUCCUCGGGGCCGGAGACCCUGCGGCCUCGUCCGCACCCUGACUCUCCGAGGGGACACGGGGACCCCAGAACCCUCGAGUCCAAGGCAGGUCGGGGAGCGCCGGGGCCCGGGGCACCUGGGGAUGCCCGGCUCCCUCGAGGCGCAGAGGAGGGUGGGCUCGCCCCUACCCAGGACAGGGGGUGGACGGAGGUGCCCCCGUCCGAGCUCAGACGGGUUCCCUCGCCACCUUCCGGACUAAGUGUCAAGUACAAGUUCAAGUUCAGGGCCAGGCCCGGGGGGCGCCGAGCCUUUCCCGGCCUCCUUUGUUCUUCCAGAUAAUCGCUCCCGAGUCCCCUCCGGGCGGGGCCCGGCAGACGCCCCCGCCCCGCCCCGCCGCGCCCCGCAGGAGCCGCCUCCUCCCGCCCGCCGGCGCGGCGCCUGUCCCCUGGUCCCGGCGUCCCCGGUCGGGGCCACCGAAGGGUCUGGGGGCUCAGGGCGGGGGAAGGCGCGAUCCGAGUCCGUGGGAGCCUCCCCAACCCCGCAGUCCCAGCAGCAAACCAAGCUUGGUCGGACGGAUGCUCGCGCUGAGGGUUCCCAACUCAUGGAUAGUGAAAAUGAAGAAAUUUAGGGCAGCAGUUUGUAAAGCCCACUAAGCCUGCAGUGUGUCCCUGGCGUUAGCAUGAGAAUGCGCCAGGGCUCUGUGAACCCCUCCCGACCUGCGGACCCCUCCCCCCACGUGAAUAGCGGGACUCAGCAGCCUCCCCAGCCUCUCCACCCAGCUCCUGCAAAGCCACGACUCCUAAUCAGGGAUGCUGUCACAGCAUGGCUUGAUGAGUGGUGCGUAGGUCUGUGCCCAGGAUCCAAACCUGCGAACCACAGGCCACCAAAGUGGAGCAAGUGAAUUAAACCACUACGCCACCAGGCCAGUCCCGAAACCAUCUUAUUCUUAUAACUGCUGGUACCACAAGGGAACACAUACCCAGGAAAUGACCAAGAAAACCUUAACAUCUCUUUCUAGAUAAAAUAUUUAUGUUUCUCUUUCUAGGAGAAAUUCCCCAGGGAAAUUAGAGAACAAGGGAUGCUUUGAAGCAGUUCCAAUGUCUUUUUCUUUUUUUUAACCCCAGUGUUCCGUGGUGUAAUACAGUGGUUAGGGGCCUGGGCGCUGGAGACAACCCAGGUUCAAAGCCACUUACCUGCUAUAUGUGACCUUGGGCAUGUCUCUUGGGGCCUGAAUGUCUUCAAUGGUAAAGUGGAGAUAAUAACUGAACCACCCUGCUAGGGUUGUUGUGAGGUUCAAAUUAGCUGAUACAUGCAGAAGAGCCGGACAAUGCCUUCCAUGCAGUAAGUGCUCAAUGCGUGUUAGCUAAGGGGAUUAAUAUGAGCGUGCUCAGUAAACAUUUGUUGGGUAAAUGUUGGGUAAAACAAAAUUUUUUCAUUUUGUUUUCAAUUAGGAUAAAGUUAUAGGAAAAGAAGAUCUUCCUGGAAACUUCUCGCGUGUAACUUUGGCGGGAGGCGGGG